GUGAGGAAUAUUGGUCAAUGGGCGGGAGCCUGAACCAGCCAAGUCGCGUGAAGGAAGAAUGAUCUAUGGUUCGUAAACUUCUUUUGCAGGGGAAUAAAGUGCAGGACGUGUCCUGUUUUGUAUGUACCCUGAGAAUAAGGAUCGGCUAACUCCGUGCCAGCAGCCGCGGUAAUACGGAGGAUCCGAGCGUUAUCCGGAUUUAUUGGGUUUAAAGGGUGCGUAGGUGGUUUGAUAAGUCAGCGGUGAAAGUUUGCAGCUUAACUGUAAAAAUGCCGUUGAAACUGUCGGACUUGAGUGUAAAUGAGGUAGGCGGAAUGCGUGGUGUAGCGGUGAAAUGCAUAGAUAUCACGCAGAACUCCGAUUGCGAAGGCAGCUUACUAAGCUACAACUGACACUGAAGCACGAAAGCGUGGGGAUCAAACAGGAUUAGAUACCCUUGUAGUCC
rnacentral:rRNA from 1 species